UCACAGUCAGCAGGUCUUCCAUGCUGCAACCGCAACCAUGCAUAUAAUUUCGAGGGCUUAUAUUUGAGGGGAGGAAAUAAGAACGUACAACUAGAAGAUGCAAAACGUUUGAGAUGCAGAAAAAUUUCUGUACAACUUAAAUGUGAUGUAAGAACAAUCAUAAAAUAUAAAGAAUACAAUAUCAUAUGAGUUAACAACAUUAUUUCACAAAUAAUGGCAUUCCUCAAGAAAUUCUAAAUUAUCAGAGAUACAACUGCAUGUGAACUUUCUACCAAAAUGAAAAUACCUAAUAUCAAAAUGUAAGAUUCUCACCAUGCAUUGGUCCAGAAUAUUAGACAGAGACCCACCCUCAGUUAUCUUUGG
rnacentral:misc_RNA from 1 species